rnacentral:rRNA from 1 species
GACGAACGCUGGCGGCGUGCUUAACACAUGCAAGUCGAACGGAAAGUCCCUGCUUGCCGGGUCCCCGAGUGGCGAACGGUUGGGUCACACGUGGGUGUUCUGCCUUGCACUCCGGGAUAAGCCUUGGUAACUGGGUCUAUUAUCGGACAGGAGCCAUUUUGAGUGUGAUGGUUGGAGCGUUUUUUCGGUGUCGUAUGAGCUCGCGGCCUAUCAGCUUGAUGGUGGGGUAAUGGCCUACCAAGGCGGCGCCGGGGAGCCGGCCCGGGAGGGUGGACGGCCACAGUGACACUGAGAUUCGGCCACGACUCCGACUGCUGGCAGCGGCAGCGAAUGGUAAACAUGGGGCACGAGCCUGAUGCUGCGCCGCCACUUGGGGGAGGACGGUCUUCGGGUUGUAAUCGCCUUUCUCUAGUGACGAAGCUUUUUGCGACGGUACCGAGAUAAGAAGCACCGGCUAACUACGUG